rnacentral:rRNA from 1 species
AUGGGCGGCACCACGGUGCUCCCGCCGUCUCUGCUCCCGCGCCGUAGCGCCGCCGCUGGCGACCUCCACUCCUGCUCCUCCCGCGUGCGCGUGAAUCCCGCCUUGAUGGCGAAUCCCGCCGCUGCCAAGAGGCCGAAGCGGCCCAUGUCCGUGUGCGACGGGCAGCCGCCGGCGAAGCGCGUACGCGGUGCCUGCUCCGGAGGCGAGCUCCAUGUCGCGGUGGCCGCCAACAUCAAGAACAGCAAGCUUCCAUGUCCCAGCAACGGCAAGGAUCCGAAGAAUCUCCACUCCUCUGUGAUCAAGAACCAGGUCGCCCAAUCUCCGGCGAGCUCGACGCAAUCGAAGCCGCCGAUCAGCAUACGCCAAGUGAUCGAGAACGCUCGCCUCGCCAUGGAUUGGGCGCACCCUGCCUCCGAAGAAGAGGCCAGCCGUCGGCGGGACAUCGAGCAUAGCAGAGCGGAGGCCCGGCGAAAGGUGGAGCAGAUGGUGGACACGGUGCAGUUCAACGACCCCUGGAUCCAUCACUCCGACGUGACCAAGUCCCCUGAGGAGCUGCUCCAAGCAAGACAGCAAGCUUGGCGUUAUCAAGCUCACCGCAUCGAGAUGGCUCGUCGACGGGACUUUGCUCAAGCGAUGCAAAUCCACAGAUGUGUGGUCAAGUGA